rnacentral:tRNA from 1 species
GCGGUUAAGACACCGCCCUUUCACGGCGGUAACACGGGUUCGAAUCCCGUACGGGUCAUCCAGAAGCCUUGC